UACGUAGGGGGCAAGCGUUGUCCGGAAUCAUUGGGCGUAAAGCGCGUGUAGGCGGUUCGGCAAGUCUGCUGUGAAAGUCCAGGGCUCAACCCUGGGAUGCCGGUGGAUACUGUCGGACUAGAGUACGGAAGAGGCGAGUGGAAUUCCCGGUGUAGCGGUGAAAUGCGCAGAUAUCGGGAGGAACACCAAUUGCGAAGGCAGCUCGCUGGGACGUCACUGACGCUGAGACGCGAAAGCGUGGGGAGCGAACAGG
rnacentral:rRNA from 1 species